UCCGAUGUGGUGUAACGGCUAACAUCGCCCGCUUUCAUCCGUUUAACGGCUCCGGGCAGCUCCGGUUUCGACUACCGGCAUUGGAA